AAACUCAAAUGAAUUGACGGGGGCCCGCACAAGUGGUGGAGCAUGUGGUUUAAUUCGACGCUACGCGAAGAACCUUACCUGGGUUUGAACUUCACCGGAAGGCUCCAGAAAUGGUGUCCGUCCUCCGGGACCGGUGAAUAGGUGCUGCAUGGCUGUCGUCAGCUCGUGCCGUGAGGUGUUGGGUUAAGUCCCGCAACGAGCGCAACCCUUGUCCUUAGUUGCCAUCGGGUGAUGCCGGGCACUCUGGGGAGACUGCCAGCACAAGCUGGAGGAAGGUGGGGAUGACGUCAAGUCAGCAUGGCCCUUACGUCCAGGGCUACACACGUGCUACAAUGGCUGGUACAAAGGGCUGCCAACCCGCGAGGGGGAGCGAAUCCCAUAAAGCCAGUCUCAGUUCGGAUUGCAGGCUGCAACUCGCCUGCAUGAAGUCGGAAUCACUAGUAACCGCAGAUCAGCUACGCUGCGGUGAAUACGUUCCCGGGCCUUGUACACACCGCCCGUCACGUCACGAAAGCUAGUUGUACCCGAAGUCGCUGGGCUAACCGCAAGGAGGCAGGCGCCGAAGGUAUGGUUGGUGAUUGGGACGAAGUCGUAACAAGGUAGCCGUAUCGGAAGGUGCGGCUGGAUCACCUCCUUUCUGAG
rnacentral:rRNA from 1 species